rnacentral:lncRNA from 1 species
UGGGACCUAGGGUUGGCUGCAGCCAGGGUUUCAGGGGUGUGUUGUGACUCCACUGUGCCAGGUGGCCCAGAUUUGGAGGUCAAAGACUGCAGUCCAAAGUCAAGUUCAAGGAGCCAGGAAGAGCAACAAGAGAAAGGACUGGCAAAAAAGAACUUGCAGAAGUGAGAAUACAGGUCAGGAGUCCCUGAAGAGUCCCAGAAGCAACAGAACGGCUUUGGAGCCAAGCUGGGCCAUGGAUCACACAGCUGAGGAGACUGACACUCAGAUGGCCCUGAAUGAGAGCUCCAGACCCUGCAGCUGGCCAUGCAGAGAUUCAGCAGAGAGCCCUGCACCAGCAAGAAGGCCUUCACCAGAUGCUGCUUCUCAGCCUUGAACUUUCCAGCCUUCAGAACCAUGAGCCAAAUAAACCUCUUUUUCCUA